rnacentral:tRNA from 1 species
GGAGAGAUGCCAGAGUGGUUGAUUGGGACGCUCUCGAAAAGCGUUGUGCGAGCAAUCGCACCGUGGGUUCGAAUCCCACUCUCUCCG